rnacentral:rRNA from 1 species
AUACGUAGGGUGCGAGCGUUGUUCGGAUUUAUUGGGCGUAAAGGGUCCGCAGGGGGUCUAUCAAGUCAGAUGUGAAAGCCCAUGGCUCAACCAUGGAACUGCAUUUGAAACUAUUAGACUAGAGUAUUGGAGAGGUAAAUGGAAUUUCUGGUGGAGCGGUGGAAUGCGUAGAUAUCAGAAAGAACACCGAGAGCGAAGGCAAUUUACUGGACAAUUACUGACCCUCAGGGACGAAAGCGUGGGUAGCAAACAGGAUUAGAAACCCGAGUAGUCC